AUUGAACGCUGGCGGAAUGCUUUACACAUGCAAGUCGAGCGGCAGCGCGGGGGCAACCCUGGCGGCGAGCGGCGAACGGGUGAGUAACAUAUCGGAACGUACCCUGUCGUGGGGGAUAACUAUCCGAAAGGAUAGCUAAUACCGCAUACGACCUGAGGGUGAAAGCGGGGGACCGCAAGGCCUCGCGCGAUAGGAGCGGCCGAUAUCGGAUUAGCUAGUUGGUGAGGUAAAGGCUCACCAAGGCGACGAUCCGUAGCGGGUCUGAGAGGACGACCCGCCACACUGGAACUGAGACACGGUCCAGACUCCUACGGGAGGCAGCAGUGGGGAAUUUUGGACAAUGGGGGCAACCCUGAUCCAGCCAUUCCGCGUGAGUGAAGAAGGCCUCGGUUGUAAGUACGU
rnacentral:rRNA from 1 species